UAAGAACUUUGUGACGGUGUUGCCAGUGCCCAAAGAGGAAAUUAAUGGGUUUGCAGCUUAUUUCUCCCAUGUUCUUAUUUAUUUGCUUUGGAAAAUUUUAUUUCUUAGUCCUUUGUGUCCUUUAUUGUCUCUUUAUGAUGAAAGUCUCUAAGGUUUCCUGCGUCUCUUCAGAAACUGAACAUAAAAUUUAUUUGGAAAGGAGACUAAUAUUUUUCUUGGCCAUCAGAUCAGCGAUGACUAUUUUACACGUGCUCUUCAUCUCACCUUGAAAAUGCAAGAAUCCCAGAGCGAAGAACCGGUGACGACGUGGUGCUUUCUUCAGUUUUCACACUUGCACAUUGCAGUGAGAGAAGACGUGCUAGUAACUGCUGUGACUAAGGAAGACACAGAAGACCAAGAUGUAGAGGGUUGAUCCGCAGCCGAAAGAAGAAGACUAAUGAAGCCAAGAGGCACGAUGACGAAGGUGCUGCCGGAUAGGAGGGAGGCAGUGAGAAGAGGUCCUUUGAGCACGUUUGUAUAGCCAGGGUCCCGAAGACUGCCCGGGGGAGACACACAUGUGAAGACACCAAAUGGACCGAGCAGGGUGAGCGCAUAGAAGAAGAAGAGAAGAGAAGGACGAAUGAACGGAGUCACGAAGACUGCCAUCCUACCCAGCCUUCACUCUCGGCAAGCCCUUCGUCACGCCGCCCUCUCCUGUGAUAGCGGCACGCGGCCGGAGGAGCCUGGCCGCUUUGAUCCCCGCCUAGCAACUCUGGGCAGGAAAACAACGUCGAGGCAAGCAUUAUUGAAAUUUCCCCUAACGUGAGCGAUCCUUUGAGAGGGAAAAAGCUGAUUAUGGACGAUAGAAGCUCCACCGCAGCAUAUCAAGCAGGACAACAGCAUAAGAGGGGAUGCACUACAGCCACGCGGGGUUCUGGAAAAAGGAAGAAACAGAUGAUCCAGUCAGUAUUCAUGAGGUGACGCAUAAAGGUUCAUCUUAAUGGAAGACAAUCCCAAAGAUCA